rnacentral:rRNA from 1 species
GCCUGAUGCAGCAACGCCGCGUGAGGGAUGACGGCCUUCGGGUUGUAAACCUCUUUUAGCAGGGAAGAAGCGAAAGUGACGGUACCUGCAGAAAAAGCGCCGGCUAACUACGUGCCAGCAGCCGCGGUAAUACGUAGGGCGCAAGCGUUAUCCGGAAUUAUUGGGCGUAAAGAGCUCGUAGGCGGUUUGUCGCGUCUGCUGUGAAAUCCCGAGGCUCAACCUCGGGCCUGCAGUGGGUACGGGCAGACUAGAGUGCGGUAGGGGAGAUUGGAAUUCCUGGUGUAGCGGUGGAAUGCGCAGAUAUCAGGAGGAACACCGAUGGCGAAGGCAGAUCUCUGGGCCGUAACUGACGCUGAGGAGCGAAAGGGUGGGGAGCAAACAGGCUUAGAUACCCUGGUAGUCCACCCCGUAAACGUUGGGAACUAGUUGUGGGGUCCAUUCCACGGAUUCCGUGACGCAGCUAACGCAUUAAGUUCCCCGCCUGGGGAGUACGGCCGCAAGGCUAAAACUCAAAGGAAUUGACGGGGACCCGCACAAGCGGCGGAGCAUGCGGAUUAAUUCGAUGCAACGCGAAGAACCUUACCAAGGCUUGACAUAUACGAGAACGGGCCAGAAAUGGUCAACUCUUUGGACACUCGUAAACAGGUGGUGCAUGGUUGUCGUCAGCUCGUGUCGUGAGAUGUUGGGUUAAGUCCCGCAACGAGCGCAACCCUCGUUCUAUGUUGCCAGCACGUAAUGGUGGGAACUCAUGGGAUACUGCCGGGGUCAACUCGGAGGAAGGUGGGGAUGACGUCAAAUCAUCAUGCCCCUUAUGUCUUGGGCUUCACGCAUGCUACAAUGGCCGGUACAAAGGGCUGCAAUACCGUGAGGUGGAGCGAAUCCCAAAAAGCC